UGUGUGUGUGUGUGUGUGUGUGUAGAUUAAACAUAAACGGACAUGGCAGCAGGUCAAAAUCAAAUACAAGAACAUUCUGCAGAAUGCAGUGAAAAAGAAUACCCACAGACAAGGCACGGGUGGUGGGUCACCAAAGGCUGACCUUACCCCAGCAGAGGACAUGGCCUUGGAGCUAAAUAAAGGCAGGCCCGUCUUAGAGGGGAUCCCUGGGGGGAAAGAGACGAGCAUAGGUUCCUCCCAAGAUGCCACCCGCUUCAUUCAAGUGUCUGGCAGCACUGUGUUCCUGUUAGAGCCACCAGCACAAGCACCAGACGAUGCUGAUCCAGUGAGUACUCCAUCAAAG